rnacentral:rRNA from 1 species
UACGUAGGGGGCAAGCGUUGUCCGGAAUCAUUGGGCGUAAAGCGCGUGUAGGCGGCCAUGUAAGUCCGUUCUGAAAGUCCAGGGCUCAACCCUGGGAUGCCGGUCGAUACUGCCGGACUAGAGUUCGGAAGAGGCGAGUGGAAUUCCCGGUGUAGCGGUGAAAUGCGCAGAUAUCGGGAGGAACACCUAUGGCGAAGGCAGCUCGCUGGGACGUUACUGACGCUGAGACGCGAAAGCGUGGGGAGCAAACAGG